GUGACGGCUGCGUGCGGCGGGAAUCAUGGCUGCUCGCAGAGCUCUGCACUUCGUAUUCAAAGUGGGAAACCGCUUCCAGACGGCGCGUUUCUAUCGGGACGUCCUGGGGAUGAAGGUGGAGUCUUGCUCUGUCGCCAGGCUGGAGUGCAGUGGCGCGAUCUCGGCUCACUGUAAGCUCAGCCUCCCGGGUUCACACCAUUCUCCUGCCUCAGCCUCCCGAGUAGCUGGGACCACAGGUUCUGCGGCAUGAGGAAUUUGAAGAAGGCUGCAAAGCUGCCUGUAAUGGGCCUUAUGAUGGGAAAUGGAGUAAAACAAUGGUGGGAUUUGGGCCUGAGGAUGAUCAUUUUGUCGCAGAACUGACUUACAAUUAUGGCGUCGGAGACUACAAGCUUGG
rnacentral:lncRNA from 1 species